rnacentral:tRNA from 1 species
GGUGGCUCAGUGGUAGAGCGCUUUCCUCCUAUGUAUGAGGCCCUGGGUUCGAUUCCUCAGCACCA